rnacentral:tRNA from 1 species
ACACAAGUAGUAUAUUGAGUAUUCCUUCUUUCCAAGUAGGUGGUCUUAUUUAUUAAGUUUGUGUA